CGCGGGGUGGAGCAGAGGUAGCUUGCUGGGCUCAUAACCCAGAGGUCGUGGGUUCGAAUCCCUCCCCCGCUACCA
rnacentral:tRNA from 1 species